rnacentral:rRNA from 1 species
AGAGUUUGAUCAUGGCUCAGAACGAACGCUGGCGGCGUGGAUAAGACAUGCAAGUCGAACGGGAUGUUGUUUGUAGCAAUACAGAUGAUGUCCAGUGGCGUAAGGGUGCGUAACACGUGGGCAAUCUGCCGAGAAGUGGGGGAUAGCUCGCCGAAAGGCGAAUUAAUACCGCAUGUGGCCAGGAGAGACAUCUCUCCAACGCCAAAGCCGGGGCAACCUGGCGCUUCCUGAUGAGCCCGCGGCCUAUCAGCUAGUUGGUGAGGUAACGGCUCACCAAGGCUAUGACGGGUAGCUGGUCUGAGAGGACGACCGGCCACACUGGAACUGAGACACGGUCCAGACACCUACGGGUGGCAGCAGUCGAGAAUUUUUCUCAAUGGGGGAAACCCUGAAGGAGCGACGCCGCGUGGAGGAUGAAGGUCUUCGGAUUGUAAACUCCUGUCAUUAGGGAACAAGUGCCGGUAAGUAACUACUACCGGCUUGAUAGUACCUGAAGAGGAAGAGACGGCUAACUCUGUGCCAGCAGCCGCGGUAAUACAGAGGUCUCAAGCGUUGUUCGGAUUCAUUGGGCGUAAAGGGUGCGUAGGUGGCGCCGUAAGUCAGGUGUGAAAUCUCGGGGCUCAACCCCGAAACUGCACUUGAUACUGCGGUGCUCGAGUACUGGAGAGGAGAUUGGAAUUUACGGUGUAGCAGUGAAAUGCGUAGAUAUCGUAAGGAAGACCAGUGGCGAAGGCGAAUCUCUGGACAGUUACUGACACUGAGGCACGAGGGCCAGGGGAGCAAACGGGAUUAGAUACCCCAGUAGUCC